UACGAAGGGUGCUAGCGUUGUUCGGAAUCACUGGGCGUAAAGCGCGCGUAGGCGGCUUAACAAGUCAGGGGUGAAAUCCCACGGCUCAACCGUGGAACUGCCUUUGAAACUGUUAAGCUGGAGUGUCGGAGGGGAUAGCGGAAUUGCUAAUGUAGAGGUGAAAUUCGUAGAUAUUAGCAGGAACACCGGUGGCGAAGGCGGCUAUCUGGACGACAACUGACGCUGAGGCGCGAAAGCGUGGGGAUCAAACAGG
rnacentral:rRNA from 1 species